CUUUACUCUGUUAAUAUAGAUAAUUAAGUUAAUUUUAAUGCUGUGUUCUCAAGUAAUCCAUACCUGGUCAAGUUCAAUUACUCAUUUAAUACUAGUGGAUUCUAUUUAGGCAUUUUGCUUAUGUUUAACAAGUCGGUUUAUUGUUUAGAGAUGGAGAGUACUUGUGUCAGGGUUCCAUCAAGGUACAGAAAAUAUACCAGUUAUUUGAUUACAGGAAAUUUAACGUACAGAAUGAUUAAUAGAACAUGGGUUACUAAUAAUGAAGGUUGGGGUAAAAGAGGACUGUAAGCGGUCCAGAAAUAGCAAGUGCAACAAAGCAGCUACUAUUUUUAGGCCAGGGAAGAGAGUCCGAUAAAAGAACUAAAGAGUAGGAGAGCUGCCUCCCCUGAAACAGAUACUCUCCAGUGGUAAGACUCAGAUUUCUUCAUCAAGAAAAUGGCUACCACAGUAAAAUGCAGCCUGCCAAAGAUGAGAAAACUCACCACCAGUCAUAGACCAGAGCUAAUUUCUGAGGGCACUGUAUUGCCAGGUCCCUGGAUGUGGUGUGAAGACUGUUCUCUACAAAACUCUAGAAGGCACGAUUUUCAUCAGAUUCACAGCCAGCGUGGCCAUACACAUGUCCAUAGAGGUGAGGGGGAAAAAGAAACCACUCAGGUUAUUACUGGUGGCAGAGCUGGAUCAUUAACCACAAGCGCGAUGAAUAUGGCAAGUAAAGCAUUUCAAGCAACAACUGCAACUCAUGAAAGUGCCACAAGUUAUGAGAGAACUAACAUUCAGAAAAUUAGUUCAUCAAAGUUGGAACUUUCAUUGAAAGUGUGAGAAACGACAAAGAAAAUCAGCUGUCUACAGGAUCUGGGACACCAUCACGAUGCUCAUUCCUAAAGUGGCCAUUCACAAAAUGACUUUGGCAGAAAACAGAAUCUUUUAGAAAACAGCUUCAGGAAGUCAUUUAAUUUGAAGGAAAAUAAUCGCUUCUCAAUCUGCACCGUCCACCGUGCACCGUGCACCGUGCACCGUAGGACAAGAAAGAAU
rnacentral:lncRNA from 1 species